GCAAAGAGCGCACGCGUGCAAAUGUUCGUGGGUCUAAAAACAGUCAACGUGCGAAAAUUUCAACAACUGAAAUUACAACAACGAAGGCAGAUGCAAGUGAACUUUCUGUUUUCGCAAUCCUGUUUUGGAAAAGCCGCUGUACUCUACAUCUAUGCUACUACUCAGAAUGUUUCUGCAAUCUGUAAUAUAUUUGAACUGGUGGAUACAGUAAGGACACACCAUUUGUGAGCUCACACUCAUUGCCCCAUUCUCAUGCAGUACAGUCAGUACAGUCUGUCAUAGCUCCAUGGCUCUCUCGGAUGUGACAGACUGUGUAUCUGUGGGUGAUGGAGUAUGCUUGAUGUGAAGCAACGGUUCCUACCCUGUGGCCUAGUAAAACGCAUAAGAAAUGACAAGAAAUGAACUUUUCCUCAAAACACAUAAAUGCAUCUUUUAUGAAGAAUGUUGUAUGUUAAACUAGCACAAAUGAAAUGGAACCUUUCUGAACUAAUAUCUGAACUUAUACCACACAACCCAUUUCAACAUUCUGUACAAUAAAGAAAGCUAUUUAAAUAAAAGUUUGCCCGUAUGUAAAAUAAAUCCAAGGGCCUUUCCCUUUUAAUGAUGUUGCUUUGCAUGCUUUAAAAAAUCUUAUUUAUUGAAAUCUUCUUCAUACUUUAAUGUGCUAUGUCUACAUUUUGUGGGUUAAAAUGAAAGAACUGUUGGAUGAAAGGUCUACAUAAAUAUUUUAAGUCUCACAGACAGACAGAUCUGUGUGGUGCCUUUUUAAAGAUCAGAUAAAAAAUUGUGUGUUUCUGUGCUGGUGGUGGGUGGUGGUGGUUAAUGCAGUUGCAACCAAGAGUUUUUGGGAUAGUAUGUGGUAUACUGGUUACUUAGAGAGCUGAACCUGAGGCCAGUGGGUUU